rnacentral:tRNA from 1 species
GCGCCCGUAGCUCAGCUGGAUUAGAGUACCAGACUACGAAUCUGGGGGUCGGGGGUUCGAAUCCCUCCGGGCGCGCCA